rnacentral:rRNA from 1 species
AUGUCUUUCAAUUCUCGUACUCGUAAUUGGAAAGUUCUGGAAGGAGACCCAUCAUUUUGCAAUGAAAACAACAUAUAAAACUCUGGACAAUUUCGAAAUCAGACCAAGCAUCUUAAUACAUAUGCAAAAAAAUUCAUUAUUGGCCCACCAUUGAUUAGAAGAUUUAGCUUGUAUGAAUCGCUAUUGGUUUGA